GAUGAACGCUGGCGGCGUGCCUAAUACAUGCAAGUCGAACGAGGUGCUUUUGUAGCAAUACGAGGGUAUCCUAGUGGCGAACGGGUGAGUAACGCGUUGGUGACCUGCCCCAAAGUGUGGGAUAACAGUCCGAAAGGAUUGCUAAUACCGCAUGUGGUCCUCGGAUUUAGAAACCGAUGACUAAAGCAGCAAUGCGCUUUGGGAGGGACCUGCGUCCCAUCAGCUAGUUGGCGGGGUAACGGCCCACCAAGGCGACGAUCCGUAGCUGGUCUGAGAGGACGAUCAGCCACACUGGGACUGAGACACGGCCCAGACUCCUACGGGAGGCAG
rnacentral:rRNA from 1 species